AGGGCGCACGGUGGAUGCCUUGGCACUAGAAGCCGAUGAAGGACGUUACUAACGACGAUAUGCUUUGGGGAGCUGUAAGUAAGCUUUGAUCCAGAGAUUUCCGAAUGGGGAAACCCAGCAUGAGUUAUGUCAUGUUAUCGAUAUGUGAAUACAUAGCAUAUCAGAAGGCACACCCGGAGAACUGAAACAUCUUAGUACCCGGAGGAAGAGAAAGAAAAUUCGAUUCCCUUAGUAGCGGCGAGCGAAACGGGAAGAGCCCAAACCAACAAGCUUGCUUGUUGGGGUUGUAGGACACUCUAUACGGAGUUACAAAGGACGACAUUAGACGAAUCAUCUGGAAAGAUGAAUCAAAGAAGGUAAUAAUCCUGUAGUCGAAAAUGUUGUCUCUCUUGAGUGGAUCCUGAGUACGACGGAGCACGUGAAAUUCCGUCGGAAUCUGGGAGGACCAUCUCCUAAGGCUAAAUACUCUCUAGUGACCGAUAGUGAACCAGUACCGUGAGGGAAAGGUGAAAAGCACCCCGGAAGGGGAGUGAAAUAGAACCUGAAACCGUGUGCUUACAAGUAGUCAGAGCCCGUUAAUGGGUGAUGGCGUGCCUUUUGUAGAAUGAACCGGCGAGUUACGAUUUGAUGCAAGGUUAAGCAGUAAAUGUGGAACCGUAGCGAAAGCGAGUCUGAAUAGGGCGUUUAGUAUUUGGUCGUAGACCCGAAACCAGGUGAUCUACCCUUGGUCAGGUUGAAGUUCAGGUAACACUGAAUGGAGGACCGAACCGACUUACGUUGAAAAGUGAGCGGAUGAACUGAGGGUAGCGGAGAAAUUCCAAUCGAACCUGGAGAUAGCUGGUUCUCUCCGAAAUAGCUUUAGGGCUAGCCUCAAGUGAUGAUUAUUGGAGGUAGAGCACUGUUUGGACGAGGGGCCCCUCUCGGGUUACCGAAUUCAGACAAACUCCGAAUGCCAAUUAAUUUAACUUGGGAGUCAGAACAUGGGUGAUAAGGUCCGUGUUCGAAAGGGAAACAGCCCAGACCACCAGCUAAGGUCCCAAAAUAUAUGUUAAGUGGAAAAGGAUGUGGCGUUGCCCAGACAACUAGGAUGUUGGCUUAGAAGCAGCCAUCAUUUAAAGAGUGCGUAAUAGCUCACUAGUCGAGUGACACUGCGCCGAAAAUGUACCGGGGCUAAACAUAUUACCGAAGCUGUGGAUUGUCCUUUGGACAAUGGUAGGAGAGCGUUCUAAGGGCGUUGAAGCAUGAUCGUAAGGACAUGUGGAGCGCUUAGAAGUGAGAAUGCCGGUGUGAGUAGCGAAAGACGGGUGAGAAUCCCGUCCACCGAUUGACUAAGGUUUCCAGAGGAAGGCUCGUCCGCUCUGGGUUAGUCGGGUCCUAAGCUGAGGCCGACAGGCGUAGGCGAUGGAUAACAGGUUGAUAUUCCUGUACCACCUAUAAUCGUUUUAAUCGAUGGGGGGACGCAGUAGGAUAGGCGAAGCGUGCGAUUGGAUUGCACGUCUAAGCAGUAAGGCUGAGUAUUAGGCAAAUCCGGUACUCGUUAAGGCUGAGCUGUGAUGGGGAGAAGACAUUGUGUCUUCGAGUCGUUGAUUUCACACUGCCGAGAAAAGCCUCUAGAUAGAAAAUAGGUGCCCGUACCGCAAACCGACACAGGUAGUCAAGAUGAGAAUUCUAAGGUGAGCGAGCGAACUCUCGUUAAGGAACUCGGCAAAAUGACCCCGUAACUUCGGGAGAAGGGGUGCUCUUUAGGGUUAACGCCCAGAAGAGCCGCAGUGAAUAGGCCCAAGCGACUGUUUAUCAAAAACACAGGUCUCUGCUAAACCGUAAGGUGAUGUAUAGGGGCUGACGCCUGCCCGGUGCUGGAAGGUUAAGAGGAGUGGUUAGCUUCUGCGAAGCUACGAAUCGAAGCCCCAGUAAACGGCGGCCGUAACUAUAACGGUCCUAAGGUAGCGAAAUUCCUUGUCGGGUAAGUUCCGACCCGCACGAAAGGCGUAACGAUUUGGGCACUGUCUCAACGAGAGACUCGGUGAAAUCAUAGUACCUGUGAAGAUGCAGGUUACCCGCGACAGGACGGAAAGACCCCGUGGAGCUUUACUGUAGCCUGAUAUUGAAAUUCGGCACAGCUUGUACAGGAUAGGUAGGAGCCUUUGAAACGUGAGCGCUAGCUUACGUGGAGGCGCUGGUGGGAUACUACCCUAGCUGUGUUGGCUUUCUAACCCGCACCACUUAUCGUGGUGGGAGACAGUGUCAGGCGGGCAGUUUGACUGGGGCGGUCGCCUCCUAAAAGGUAACGGAGGCGCUCAAAGGUUCCCUCAGAAUGGUUGGAAAUCAUUCAUAGAGUGUAAAGGCAUAAGGGAGCUUGACUGCGAGACCUACAAGUCGAGCAGGGUCGAAAGACGGACUUAGUGAUCCGGUGGUUCCGCAUGGAAGGGCCAUCGCUCAACGGAUAAAAGCUACCCCGGGGAUAACAGGCUUAUCUCCCCCAAGAGUUCACAUCGACGGGGAGGUUUGGCACCUCGAUGUCGGCUCAUCGCAUCCUGGGGCUGUAGUCGGUCCCAAGGGUUGGGCUGUUCGCCCAUUAAAGCGGUACGCGAGCUGGGUUCAGAACGUCGUGAGACAGUUCGGUCCCUAUCCGUCGUGGGCGUAGGAAAUUUGAGAGGAGCUGUCCUUAGUACGAGAGGACCGGGAUGGACAUACCUCUGGUGUACCAGUUGUCGUGCCAACGGCAUAGCUGGGUAGCUAUGUGUGGACGGGAUAAGUGCUGAAAGCAUCUAAGCAUGAAGCCCCCCUCAAGAUGAGAUUUCCCAACUUCGGUUAU
rnacentral:rRNA from 1 species